UGCCGUCUCUAUAAAAUCUCUUUUCGAUUAUCAGCAAAUUCCUUCAUCAUAGUCUCCAUCGGGUUUUGAUUACUUUGCUCCAUGAAAAUCGUAGUUUCAAGAUUCUUUAAGUCGUAUCAAUAGGAUUCAAUGUUUUUAUCGAUUUGGAAUCUGGGAUUCUCUGUUUCUAGUUGUCUUCUAGUUUUUGGGUUUGCGAAUUAUACUAUUGUAGAAUUAGAGUUCUCGAGGUGAUGAUGAUAACAUAUAAUCCCAGCUCUAUGAGACCUUUUGUGGUCAAGGAUUUUGUUUUGCCAUAUGAUCUCUUUGAAUGUAAGGAUUCCCUAUGAUGGUAAUAACCAUGCUAAUACUGAUGUCUUGUGACUGAAUCAAAGUUAUGUGUCUGAGGGAAUUUUUUGUUUGCAUUUUUUUGUUUCGUGAACUACAUGUGAUUGUCGAGGAG